GUUUUUAUGGUGUAAUCAACACAUAACUUUUUCAAAGUUAAACUAACUAAUAUUUAAAAACA
rnacentral:tRNA from 1 species